GCUGGGCUUUAACUGACGCUGAGGCACGAAAGCGUGGGUAGCAAACAGGAUUAGAUACCCUGGUAGUCCACGCUGUAAACGAUGAUUACUAGGUGUGGGGGGUCUGACCCCUUCCGCGCCGGAGUUAACACAAUAAGUAAUCCACCUGGGGAGUACGGCCGCAAGGUUGAAACUCAAAGGAAUUGACGGGGGCCCGCACAAGCAGUGGAGUAUGUGGUUUAAUUCGAAGCAACGCGAAGAACCUUACCAGGUCUUGACAUCCAACUAACGAGAUAGAGAUAUGUUAGGUGCCCUUCGGGGAAAGUUGAGACAGGUGGUGCAUGGUUGUCGUCAGCUCGUGUCGUGAGAUGUUGGGUUAAGUCCCGCAACGAGCGCAACCCUUGCUAUUAGUUGCUACGCAAGAGCACUCUAAUAGGACUGCCGUUGACAAAACGGAGGAAGGUGGGGACGACGUCAAAUCAUCAUGCCCCUUAUGACUUGGGCUACACACGUACUACAAUGGGCGUUAACAGAGGGAAGCAAAAUAGCGAUAUGGAGCAAACCCCUAAAAACGUUCUCAGUUCAGAUUGCAGGCUGCAACCCGCCUGCAUGAAGUCGGAAU
rnacentral:rRNA from 1 species